CCGAAUAUCAAAAAGUUAUUGCCAUUUGAUAAGGAUCUGUUGGAAAGGAGGCUUGUUGCAUGGAAAGAAGUUGUUGGAACGAAUUAUGAUAAUUUCCCUAUUGGACUUAUUUGUGUUUGUUCUGACCACUUCCAAUCAGGUAAACCAGCUAACAUUUGCAAUGUAAACGAUAUUGCAAGCUUUAGAUGUUGGUGCUACUUGAUCUUCAUCAGCAUUCCAAGCAGUUUCAGUUCUACGACUUGGGAGUUCAUGCUCAGCAACAGCAAGUUGCAGCAAUGCACUAACAUGAAUGCAGACUCUCCCAAGCCUAUUUUAAUACAACAAUAAAUGAUUACUAGCACACGUAUAAACUUUUGUCAACAAUUGAUUACCCAGCAGCACAGUCACAAUAUGCAACUUUAACUUUUCCAUCAGAAUGUAUUGCAGCCCACGGUGUUGUUGGGUUAAUUCCUAGAGAUUGUGAGUGAGUUAUAUGACUGCGAAUGAUCACAAUGCCAUUGGGAAGUGGAAAGGCAAGAAGUUUAUCGGCAAAAGUGUUAUAUACAUAUUGGGGAGAACCGUUUAGAUUUUUGUAUGCCUCAAACUUCUCACCAUCACUGCCAUUCCGUUCAAUAACUAAAUAUAGAACUAAAUGUUUAUUUUUUAUUGGAGGAA